rnacentral:lncRNA from 1 species
GCCUUUCUAGGGUUAAUUUGGGCGGCAUUCUUGAAGGGGUUUUUCAUUCAAAAUGAACGUUUUAAAAUUUGAUCGUUGAUCUUUCUUGGACGGAUUUUGCAGACAUCACGUGAUUUGCGGCAAAAUAGCAUGACUUGUUCUAGUCCUUACCCGAAUUGGCGAGGUUGUGGUCUGCUUUAAUUUGAUUUCGAAGUUUUCAAGCACAAACAAAAAAGAGGAAAAGGAAUAUCCCUUGGAAUAUUUAGAUACGUAAUGGGAGUAGAGAGACCUUUUUGCACAAAAAUGGUGCGUCAUUCCUCUGCUUGAAAGAUAUAAGAGUUUGGAAGUUUCCUGAAAAAGGAGAAGGGAGUGGGGCGUCUGUUUUGAAGGAGAUAGAGAGAAGUUAGGAGAUUUAGGUUAUGGAAAAGUUGGGCUGCUGGAUCUGUUAUUGGGCUAUUAAAGUGAUGGCUGUUGAAAGGUGGUGAUGUAAAGGCUUUGCUUGGGCCGAAAACUAUAGCAUUUUCCUUCUUCCAAUUAAUUAAAUUUUGCUGUCAUAUUUU